rnacentral:lncRNA from 1 species
UUCAGCUGAUAUAAGAUAAAAUUAAUACCCACCGCAUUCACCUCCUCCUUGGACUAUUUUGAGCUGCCUGAUCUAACGGACCCUUCUUGCAGUGGCAAUCACAGCAAACCUUUUAAAUAUAUGUGACCAAUCAUGAGCAAAAUGUAUUAAUCUAACAAAAGUAACUGAAACUCUAAGUACUGUGAUAACAGCUACAGAGACUCCUAUUCUUACAAGUUUUAAACAGUUCUUUGAUAUGUUAUUUGUUAAAUGAGUUUUUAGAAAUGAAAUGCAGUCUCCUCUAAAUGACAAUCAGGGUCUUCAGAUGUCUAUACAAACUGUUUUUCCAUUUUAUCCCUAGCUUACCUUCCAAAUUCACCCACCCUCUGCUUCAGUUACAGAGUGUCUUUCACUCUUCCCAUAACACAAUUGUUUUUCCCACCUUUGUGCCUUUUCACACACUAUUAUCUUUGACUCCACUAUCCUUUCUAUCGUCUGUACCUGGUAAAGCUAAGCUGUUUAUAGCAACAGCUCCACAGACUGUAUAGUGAGUGUUGAUGUAAGAUUUUACACUGAAAAGACGUUGGUUCAUCUUUAAGGUCAACGUACCUUCUUUUCCUCUCUGCUGCCAUUUUAACUCAAGGCCAAGCCACUGGUAGAAUUGCAUGGACGUGUUUUUUGUAUUCUUUUUAUUGGAUGGGGAUUGUUUUCAAAACAACGUACAUACUUGUUUGCUUCCCUGAGAAAAAUCAGUCAUCAGCCUCACUUCUCUGAAACCUAGCAAAACCCCAGGUCCACUUCUGGCUCUUCCCGUAAAGCAUUGGUAGCCUAGGCCGGUCAGAGAGCUUCUCAGAAUAGUAAUAACUGGCUGGCAUGCAACACUUGAUUAUUAGCACCAAAAAAAGUAAUACAUGUGCAAACACUUGAAAACUAACAUUUCAUGUUUGUAACUGUUCUCGCUUUAACAGUUAACUGAAUAACUUCAAGAGCCAUGGGGUUUACACGCAGGAAAGAAAUGCAGGGUCAUCUGUUUUUUACUGUAAAGCACGCACCUGCCUUUGUUGCUGUCGUUCAGUCGCCGAGUCCUGCCUGACUCUUUAUGACCCCAUGGACUGCGGCACGCCAGGCUUCCAUAUCCCUCAUAAUCUCCCAGAGUUUGCUCAGGUUCAUGUGCAUUGAAUCGGUGAUGCCACCCAACCAUCUCAUCCUCUGUUGCCCUCUUCUCCUUCUGCCUUCAAUCUUU